AUUCUAGCUGCGUCAAUCAACGAUGCGUACACAACAUUGACCCCCGCAUGAUCCGCACGUCUAUUCACCGCAACAUCAAUGUUGCAUUUGAUAUGCAGUGCCUCUAACAUGAGUCUCUUUCCGUAGUGCUGGUGGGUGUCAAGAAUCUCCGCCUCAUCAAAUCUGAAUACAUGUCCAGUGUCGUGCGAAUGCUCACAAAGGGCAGAAGCUGCUGCUUUUUCCCUCUGGAUGGGGGUUCUACAAUCCCUGAAAUGCUCCCUUACUCUCGUGGUCAACAUUCUCCCCGUGGUGCCCACAUAAACUCCUUCGCAAGCCCCACAAGAGAUCCUGUAGACAACAUUCGACCUCCUAUCAGGAGGCACAGGAUCCUUUAAUUUGGAGAAGAACUGACCAGUCCUUUCUAUGGGUCGGAAUGCAGGAGUAAUGUUGGUUCCGGGGAGCCAGCAUUUGUCCGAGAAUCCGUGGAAGAAUGUACAUGUAAGGAUGCAUUAUGUGAAGAUUGAGUGCUCAAUAACUUCCUGAUGAUGUUUUCUGGGAAGUCAUUCUGUCUUAGGAUCCAUUUCAGUUUUACAUCAAUAUCUUCACCUGGUUUUGUGGAUCCUGUUGGAAGCACACGGUUUGGAAUACCACACUGUAGUCAUGUUUCCAUCAGUUGUUCUAUGGAUCGACAUAUCCAGAUAUGCCAGAGCAUCAUCCUUUUCGUUCUCCAUAGUGAAUUGUAGCUUCUCAUUGUAACAAUUAAAUUGUUCAAGCACGUUGGAAACAUCCUCAGCGUGUACCGCCAGUAGUAGGUCAUCCACAUAUUUACGAAUAAAAUCAAUUCUGAGGUUUGUGCUCCCCAAAAUAUCUUCAAUCGCUUUUUGCAUAACAAUGUCCGCCAGGAUGGGGCUCACAGGAGAGCCCAUGGCUACCCCCUGAAGCUGAAGGUACACCUCAUCACGAUGCAUAAAAUAUCCGGAGUUGAUGCACAGCUCAACCAACUCAAGAAGUUCAUCUUUGUGUAAUUUAGUGGAAUGUUCAAUCUCACCAAAUCUUCUGUCCACCUCUCUGAGUGCCAAAUCAGUAGGAAUGUUGGUAAACAACGCCACCACGUCCAGGCUCAGAAGAACGUAGCCCUCCGGAAGUUUCCUUUCAUUGAUGAAACCUGCCAGGCUCAAAGAAUCCUUAACAUUCAUCUCAUGCUCUGCCAAUGGCGAAAGAACAGAGGCCACAAAUUUCGCGGAUCCAUACGUCGGAGAACCCACGAAUGAGACCACAGGGCGAAGAGGCACCCCAUCCUUAUGCACUUUCGGCAUCCCAUAAAUUCUGGGAGCGUUUCCGGAGUUUGAUGUGAGAUCCCUCUUUUGCUUCUUGUAGACAGAUUCAUCACUCACCAAUUGGAGCAUCUUUUCUUCAUAAUCAUCCCUGUAGGUGUAUACCCUACAAAAGAGGUAGUAUAUAGUUGGGAAAAUGCAAUAUAGGGUCCAUCCUCUUUUGCCAUCCCACACGAAAAAAAAACAUCCAAACCCUGUACAUGAGAUAAAAAUGCUUGUUGGGAACCUAAACAUGGAGGAGAAUCGAAAAAAAUAAAGCAAAUAACAAUAAAAAUAAAAA